AUGUACCAAUCGUACACUCCGGUUUCUGUGCGCCGUCCGCACCCACCUGACAACUGCUCGCUACGUUUUGUUAGCC
rnacentral:sRNA from 1 species